UUGACCCUAGGCUUGAUCCUAGGCUUGACUCUAGGCUUGAUCCUAGUGUUGACCCUAGGCUUGAUCCUAGUGUUGACCCUAGGCUUGAUCCUAGGCUUGACUCUAGGCUUGACCCUAGUGUUGACUCUAGGCUUGACUCUAGGCUUGAUCCUAGUGUUGACUCUAGGCUUGACUCUUAAGCUUGAUCCUAGUGUUGACCCUAGGCUUGACCCCAGCAUUGAACAGCUUGUGAACACGCUGCGGCAUCUCGACCCUCAACGUGAACGGUGCCAGUUCCGACCUGUCAUAAGCACAGCGCGUCUUCUCCCGGACGGUGGUGUCCUGCUCGUCUCCAAUCAGCCAGAGAAAUCUGGGAUCGCUCCUCAGGCGAACAGCUCGCCAGCCCUUGAUGGUGACGUAGCUGCAGGCGGCGUUCAAGUCCCCCAAGAUCAUCACAUUCUGUGGGGAAACGGGAGUGAAAGGAAAAGGCUUCCAUUUCUUCAUCACGUAUGCGGCGGGAAGGAUUGAUGAUCCUAACGAGCACCUCGGUCUUCCACCUGCCGUAGAUGUCCCUGAACACGUCAUACAACUGGUCCAUCUCCUUCAAGGCCGUUUUAGGACUGCGGCACCGCUAUGCUGGAGCCUAUCCCAGUUGACUUCAUUCAGAGGCGGGGUCCACCCUGGACCGGUGAAAGCUAAAAGUACAACCACCCACCAGGCUGUCCCCGCUGGGCCGUGCGGGCCUGAAUUGGAACGCCAACAUAGAGGACAUCUUCAAGGUCAAACAAAGUCGUCAUUCAAAGGUACUGCUGAUAUUUGCUAUGAUUUGCUAUGAUGCACACAGCGCAAGGAAUAACUUGCCGCUGUGUCUCCUUCCUGCUACGGUCUGGCGCUGUGAGGCGUUCAGGCGCUCUCGUGAGUUGUGGCCGCCACCUUUAUAGGUCACAUGACAGAUGGCAUCACCGUACUGUUAGUUUGUUUACAUGUGGUGGCGGAGUGAAGUCGAACGAUGAAAGGCUGUCUGGAGAAGACUUGGGUGUCGUUUGUCCCUCCCGGUUCAAGUCCAGAGUACUGAUACUGGUCCUGAACCUUCAACACGUUGCUUCUAUGGAGGCCAGGAGACAAAUAUAUAUUAACACGGGGGUGACCUUCACCUGACAUUUCCACACCAACGCCACCCGCUGAUCCCGAUGUUACCUAUACACGUAGACAUACUGUUCCUUAUAGCUUUUCCUUCCCAGUCGCUCACUUUCCACGUAGGAAUAGGAGUUCCGGGAAUCAAACCUGCAGACAAAUGGUGGACUCACUAAGUUUGGUUGCGUUCAAGGAAGUUGAGGUAGAAUGCAACUGCUGUUCCAAUGAAAGAAGGCCCAGGAAGGAACGAUGUUCUUUAAAAGGAUCUUCUAGAAGCUGUUUGUGAAAUCCAAGCUGGUAGAUCCAGGAGAACAUCAGAAUAAGAUCCACGUUUUGUCCAGCAGGGGACCUUGCUUUGGAAUGUUUGAGCUACGUCAGCCAAGGAAGUCCUUCAUGCUUUGGCUGCUCAUCCUUUGGUCCCAAGACAGAAUGCCAGAGUUUGGCGUCCGGACCCAAGUACGGAAUAUUCUCCAAGAACCAAAACCUUUUCACUCCACCAACCUGUUCAGAUCUUUUACCAAGGCUUGCAUUGCUCGUCCUUUCGAGUCUCGGACCUCCUGAAUGAGACACAAGUCACAUCGGGAAAGAAUCUUCGGAAAGAACCCCCCCCAAAAAACAAAACAAAAAUCAACUUUGUAUUUUGAAGAUGACGUGGUGGUAAUAAUAAUAAUAAUAAUAAUAAUAAUAAUAAUAAUAAUAAUAAUAAUAUACCUUGAUAAGAAUCCCCAUGACCUUCUUGUUGUUUGCCUUGGAUUGGCCAAAACUUUGCACGUUAAAAGCGCAGAUCUUGAGUGACAGCACCACAUUUGCUGCUACGCACACCCCCGUCACAAACACCAGACCUGCCAUCCUCAUCCUCAUCCUGGAAGCCGAAGAAGAGUCCUCCAGUCCUCCGCUUUCAGGAUGGAAGCAGUCCAGGUGGAUGAGCCCCCCCCCCCAUCCAUGCGGGCCAGGGGGGCUGUGCCAGGGGGGCUGUGCCAGGGGGGCUGUGCCAGGGGGGCUGUAAUGGUUGUGCUGUGUCAGUGCCAGAUGAUAAUGGAGCUUCAUCUGGAACUACGAGACCCACCACACCAACAACAACGCAACAAUGGUCACAUGACCACACUGACAGCGUCUGGCAGCGUCCUGUGGUUUGUCUUUUUAAAGCAAUACAAGACCCCUGCUGCUACUACUACUACUACUACUACUACUACUACUACUACUACUACUACUACUACUACUACUACUACUACUACUACUACUACCACCUAAUUUCUAAUAUUUGGGAGAUGAUGGACUGUUGCUAGGAUGCUCCCUUCUACUACUACUACUACUACUACUACUACUACUACUACUACUACUACUAUGAUAUCAUUUCUAAUAUUUGGGAUAUGAUGGACUGUUGCUAGGAUGCUCCCUUCUACUACUACUACUACUACUACUACUACUACUACUACUAUGAUAUCAUUUCUAAUAUUUGGGAUAUGAUGGACUGUUGCUAGGAUGCUCCCUUCUAGUACUACUACUACUACUACUACUACUACUACUAUAUCAUUUCUAAUAUUUGGGAUAUGAUGGACUGUUGCUAGGAUGCUCCCUUCUACUACUACUACUACUACUACUACUACUACUAUAUCAUUUCUAAUAUUUGGGAUAUGAUGGACUGUUGCUAGGAUGCUCCCUACUACUACUACUACUACUACUACUACUAUAUAAUUUCUAAUAUUUGGGAUAUGAUGGACUGUUGCUAGGAUGCUCCCUUCCCGUAAAGAGGAAUGACUCGGACAUCAGUCACAUGAUCAGAUGACUUUGCAUUGUUUCAAAGAAGAUAUUUCAUUGUUUACACGUACUACUAUUAUCUUAUUAUUAUUAUUAUUAUUAUACUGCAUAGCACACACAUCCACAUUCAACCAGCCGUACAUUUGCAGACAAAACUACUUUCUUCCAAAUGAACAUGUAACAUGCUCAAAAUGGCCUAAAGCAGCCUGGGUGUUUGGGGGAGCUCAUUUGCAUAAAAUAAUCUUCAAUUUGUCUCCCGAUGUCAGAGUAAAGGUCCUCCAUCUGCUCCCUGGCAGGAAGAUGCCACAGCAGGGCGGCUCCUCCCACAGCCAGGAGGAGGAGGAGGAGGAGGAGGAGGAGGAGGACAGACAGGCUCCACCAGGACGCAUGUGAUAUCUGCAGGAAGAGUUGGGAAUGCAGCAUGGAGGAGUCUUUUACGGUGGUGGCUGACGGGCCAGAGGUCUUCCCUGCGCUGAGACUGAAGCUCCUGCCUCCUUGGCUGCACCUCCCACUGGACAAAGUCACACAAUUAAUAACCACAAUCCAUUUCAUCCUUUUGCUGUUCUGAUUGUCCUAAUUAGGCUCGUGGGGGGGGG